AAGAGCUGGAGCAAGGUUACCACAGUGUAUGAAUUGACGACUAAGAUGAUCAAGUAAAGGUAAUAUCAGCCCGUCAACAGCUUUCCCUGAAUUUUUUGAAGUUCUGAAGUUCCCAUUUGAAGUUCAGGCCAAGUUGGACCGAAAAGAAUGCAGACUAACGUCAUCAGACCGAAACAAAAUUAUUAGAACGUUGUAUGAAAGCGUGGCUCAGUACAAAAUGUAAGUAUUUC